rnacentral:rRNA from 1 species
UGGGGAAUAUUGGACAAUGGGCGCAAGCCUGAUCCAGCCAUGCCGCGUGUGUGAAGAAGGCCUUUUGGUUGUAAAGCACUUUAAGCGAGGAGGAGGCUACUUGGAUUAAUACUCUAAGAUAGUGGACGUUACUCGCAGAAUAAGCACCGGCUAACUCUGUGCCAGCAGCCGCGGUAAUACAGAGGGUGCGAGCGUUAAUCGGAUUUACUGGGCGUAAAGCGUGCGUAGGCGGCUUCUUAAGUCGGAUGUGAAAUCCCUGAGCUUAACUUAGGAAUUGCAUUUGAUACUGGGAAGCUAGAGUAUGGGAGAGGAUGGUAGAAUUCCAGGUGUAGCGGUGAAAUGCGUAGAGAUCUGGAGGAAUACCGAUGGCGAAAGCAGCCAUCUGGCCUAAUACUGACGCUGAGGUACGAAAGCAUGGGGAGCAAACAGG